CCUACGGGUGGCAGCAGUGAGGAAUAUUGGUCAAUGGACGAGAGUCUGAACCAGCCAAGUAGCGUGAAGGAUGACUGCCCUAUGGGUUGUAAACUUCUUUUAUAUGGGAAUAAAAUGUUCCACGUGUGGGAUUUUGUAUGUACCAUAUGAAUAAGGAUCGGCUAACUCCGUGCCAGCAGCCGCGGUAAUACGGAGGAUCCGAGCGUUAUCCGGAUUUAUUGGGUUUAAAGGGAGCGUCGGGGGAUUGUUAAGUCAGUUGUGAAAGUUUGCGGCUCAACCGUAAAAUUGCAGUUGAAACUGGCAGUCUUGAGUACAGUAGAGGUGGGCGGAAUUCGUGGUGUAGCGGUGAAAUGCUUAGAUAUCACGAAGAACUCCGAUUGCGAAGGCAGUUCACUGGACUGCAACUGACACUGAGGCUCGAAAGUGUGGGUAUCAAACAGGAUUAGAUACCCGGGUAGUC
rnacentral:rRNA from 1 species